UUUUGGGGUGGAUUUUUGGGGGGAUUUUUGGGGUUUUUUGGGGUUUUUAAUCUGAUUUUGGGGUGGAUUUUUGGGGAGGAUUUGGGGGAUUUUGGGGGGAUUUUUUUGGUUUUAAAAUCUGAUUUUGGAGUGAAUUUUUGGGCAGGAUUUGUGAGAUUUUGGGGGAAUUUUGGGGGGAAUUUUUUGGGUUUUUUUUGGGGUUUUAAAUCUGAUUUUGGGGUGGAUUUUUUGGAGAGGAUUUGGGGGAUUUUUGGGAGGAUUUUUGGGGUGAUUUUCUGGAUUUUCGGGCCCCGUCGCCGUCACCGUCCUGGGAGGUUCCUCAGAUGCUGCCUGGGAAGGGAAAGUGACAAAAAAAUGGGGGGAAAAGGGACAAAAAAGGGACAAAAAAAAAAAUUCUGGAGGUGAUUUUGGGGGUCCCUCACCUGGGUAGGUGUCACCGGGGAGGGGGGUGUAACCUGCAGGGGAAAAAUGGGGUGAAAAUGGAGAAAAAUGGGCAAAAAAUGAGAUUAAAAUGGAGAAAAAAUGGAGAGAAAAGGGGAAAAAAGUGAAAAAAAAUGGGGGAAAAGAGGAAAAAAUGGGGAAAAAGAGGAAAAAGGAACAGGAAGGGAGAAAAAAGGAAAGAAAGGGAGGAAAAUGUUGAAAAAAGAGAAAAAAUUAGGAAAAAAGUAGUGAAAAGGGAUGAGAAAGGAUAAAAAUUGACAAAAAAGUGGAAAAAUGGGAAAAAAGGAGAAAAAAGUAAAAAAAAAAAGGAGGAAAAGGAAGAAAAAGGGGCAAAAAAAAGGAUAAAAAAUGAGAAAAAAGGGAAAAAAGUGAGAAAAAAGAAAGGAAAAGGGAGAAAAGGUGGGAAAAGGAGAAAAAUGGGGGAAAAAGGAGAAAAAUGUGAAAAAAUGGAGAAAAAUGUGGGGAAAAAGGAGAAAAAUGUGGGAAAAGUGGAGAAAAAUGUGGGAAAAAAAGGAGAAAAAUGGGGAAAAAAAGAGAAAAAUGUGGAAAAAUGGAGGAAAAUGACACAAAAUGACAUAAAAUGACAUAAAAGUGAUAAAAAGUGAC
rnacentral:lncRNA from 1 species